AAAGAUUUAAGAGUCGAACAGACUCAAAUUUUUUAGCUUCUGCACCAAAAAUUCACUUUAAUCCAACAUCGAGGUCGCAAACUUAAUUCAUCGAUAAGAACUCUCCGAAAAAAUUACG
rnacentral:rRNA from 1 species